CAGGCCUAGUCGACCACGGGCUCACGGCCGAUGUGUUUGCGUGUUCGCUGCCGUGCGGAAAGUGAAAUCGUGUCAUAUGCUACAGAUUAUUUACGUCAAACAAUCGCACAACCAUGCAGGACGAGGUCUUGCUUCCCAUUGAUAUCCAAACCAACAAGUUGCUGGAUUGGUUGAUAAGCAGACGACACUGCAACAAGGACUGGCAAGCGAAGGCACUGGUCGUACGAGAGAAGAUCAAUGGCGCCAUCCAGGGACAUGC
rnacentral:lncRNA from 1 species